AUUGAACGCUGGCGGCAUGCCUUACACAUGCAAGUCGAACGGCAGCACGGGUGCUUGCACCUGGUGGCGAGUGGCGAACGGGUGAGUAAUACAUCGGAACAUGUCCUGUAGUGGGGGAUAGCCCGGCGAAAGCCGGAUUAAUACCGCAUACGAUCUACGGAUGAAAGUGGGGGACCUUCGUGCCUCGCGCUAUAGGGUUGGCCGAUGGCUGAUUAGCUAGUUGGUGGGGUAAAGGCCUACCAAGGCGACGAUCAGUAGCUGGUCUGAGAGGACGACCAGCCACACUGGGACUGAGACACGGCCCAGACUCCUACGGGAGGCAGCAGUGGGGAAUUUUGGACAAUGGGCGAAAGCCUGAUCCAGCAAUGCCGCGUGUGUGAAGAAGGCCUUCGGGUUGUAAAGCACUUUUGUCCGGAAAGAAAUCCUUGGCCCUAAUACGGUCGGGGGAUGACGGUACCGGAAGAAUAAGCACCGGCUAACUACGUG
rnacentral:rRNA from 1 species